rnacentral:misc_RNA from 1 species
AAAAUAAUCCUACCCUUUGUGAAUUUUGUUUGUUUGAAUAAUUUUUUUUUUUAAAAAAUUAUUGGAGUCUUUCCCUUUAGUUUGCUUUUGAGUUUGUAAAAGAAUUCGAAAACAUCUAAAGGGGAUGGUCAAUAAUUUUUUUGAAAAAAGACAUUUUUUAAAAUUAAACUUUUUGUAUUCAUUUGUCUAAAAAUUAUUUUUAUAAUAUAAAAACAACUUUUGACAAUGGAUCUCUUGGUUCUCGCACGAUGAAGAACGCAGCAAAAUGCGAUAAGUAGUGUGAAUUGCAGAAUACGUGAAUCAUCGAAUCUUUGAACGCAUAUUGCACUUUUUUAGUUUACUAAAAAAGUAUGUCUGUUUGAGUAUCAGUAAAAUAUUCUCAUAAAAAUCAUUGUAUUUUUAUGGUUAUGAGUGUUUUACAACGAUACAAGUUGUUUCACUUUAAAUUUUUUUUAAUAUUGAAAUUUUUCUAAUUUUAAUAAUUAAAAUUGGAUAAAAUUUUCCCGUCAAAAGGAAUAACCUAAACAAUUUUAAAUGAUUAAUUUUAGCAAAAUUUUCGAAAAAGGAAAAUUUUUAUUAAAAUAACUUGAUCUCAAAUCAGAUAAGAGUACCCGCUGAACUUAAGCAUAUCAAUAAGCGGAGGAAAAGAAACUAACAAGGAUUCCCUUAGUAACGGCGAGUGAAGCGGGAAGAGCUCAAAUUUGAAAUCUUCAAGGUUUUACCUGACGAAUUGUAGUUUAAAGAAGUGUUUUCUGCUGAAGUUUUGGUAAAAGUUCUUUGGAAUAGGACAUCAUAGAGGGUGAGAAUCCCGUAUUUGACCAUUAUUCUCAGCUUUGUGAUACACUUUCAAAGAGUCGGAUUGUUUGGGAAUGCAGUCCAAAAUGGGUGGUAAAUUUCAUCUAAAGCUAAACAUUGGCGAGAGACCGAUAGCGAACAAGUACCUUGAGGGAAAGAUGAAAAGAACUUUGAAAGGAGAGUUAAACAGUACGUGAAAUUGUCAAAAGGGAAGCGUUUGACACCAGUGUUGUUUUCUCGAAAAUCAAUUAAAAAUGGCUCGAUUUUGUAUUGCUGAGACCUUAAAAGCUCACUGUACAUUUUUCGUGUCUUUUUAAUGCACUUUUCGUUAACAAGUCAACAUCAGUUUCUUUUGUUGUAAAAGGGUCAUUGGAAGGUGGCUUUCUUUUCGGAGAAAGUGUUUAUAGCCUUUGGCCUCUGCAAUCGGAGAGACUGAGGUCUGCAGCGUAGACUCUUCGGGGUUAGAUACAUUUGUGCUAAGUUAUAGCUUUUUAUAGACAACUUGUUGACUAUAAUUAGUCUUGUAGCUUACUCGCUUAUGCUAUUU